rnacentral:rRNA from 1 species
AGUAUCCGGCACUACUUGUUGCCUCAUUUUGGCGGACAAGUAACAAUGUGUCCGGUGCGGACAAUCAGCAGGAAAGGCUUUGUGAAAAGGAGAUACAAAUGACUCUGGAUGUAAAAGCCAUUCCUCCUCGAAUAGGUUAUUAUCUUGCUGGUUUUGCUGAUGGGGAAGGAAGCUUCAAUGUUUCCUUCAGACCAAGAGAUGACUAUGCAAUUCCCUGGAAAGUUUCUCUCUGCUUCAAUAUUUCUCAAAAGGACAAAGUUAUCCUUACCCUCUUCAAGAAACACCUCAAUUGUGGAACGUUAAGAAGCAGGCCAGAUGGAGUUUGGUAUUAUGAGGUGAAUAAUUUCAGGGCUAUAGUUGAAAAUGUCAUCCCGUUUUUCGAUAGGUUCGGGUUCCUAUCAGCAAAAAAGAAGAGAGAUUUUUCCAAGUUCAAGAAGAUUGCUAGAAUGAUGCAGGAAAACCGUCAUCUGGAUAAAGAAGGUAUUCUCGAGAUCCUGGAAAUUAGAAAAGAGAUGAAUGACGGCGGCAAGAGAAAACACAGCGAGGCGGAAAUUAAAAAUCACCUUUUCAGUAAAGAAUCCUCAGAGACUAUACGUCAGGCUCUCCCAGAGAAAGAGGAGAGAUGAUAUAGUCCGUUCCCUUCAGCGAUGGAGGGCGCUCGGUAUAAACACUGAGCAGUAUCUCUAACAGAUACAACGUUAAGAACGGUCCUAAGGUUAGAAUAGCUAGCCUUAGUAAAAUCUGGCUAUAUGCUGGAAACCCUGUCCCCUUCAAAAGGGGUGAAGAACCCGCGCUACUCUAUAUGAGUAAAAAUGCGAUGGGUGCAGGCAAUCAGCAGGAAAGGCCGAAGCAAAUGUUUCGGAGUCCUCAGAGACUGUAUGCCAGACACUAAGAUGCAGUGAAGAUACAGUCCGAGCCGCAUGGCAACAUGCGGAGGCUGUCAGAAAUGGCAGCCCGCCUGGUUUAAUAUCAGGUCAUCAAAGUAACAGAGCUGAGCGAAAUUCCUUGUCGGGUAAGUACCUGAACUUGCCCCUUUCCCAAGCAAUUGGGCUUGAAACACCGGCUCAUAUCGGAGAAGCCCUCCUACCUCGUGAAGCGAGGUGUGGGGUAAUUCCGAGGGAACCUCUGGCCCCAAGGCCAUUGGACCCGUAACGACUGACCCGAAAGGGGAGGCGCACAGUCCUCUUGUGCGCAACACGCCGGCCCUCACGUUUGUUUGGUUCCUAUGGAGUCUUCCUUCAAAAAAGGAGGAGAGAUGCAAUUUGAUCCAUGGUAUGUCACUGGGUUAUGCGAUGGCGAAGCGAGUUUUAGUAUAAGCUUCAACCGACGCUCCAAGCUGAAAGUUGGUAUUGAAACGAGACCUUCAUUUUCAGUCACUUUAAAUGCUCGAGACCAGGAAUUGAUAAAAAGUCUAAGGGACUUUUUUAAAUGCGGAGCAAUAAGAUUUUCACGAAGCGAUGACACUUUUAAGUACGAGGUUCGGGCCAUUCGCGAUUUGACACACAAGAUAAUACCUCAUUUUCAGAAAUAUCCACUUCGUGGAAAUAAAGCCAGUGACUUUGACGCUUUUGCGAGAGUCGUUACUAUGGUUAGUGCUAAUCUCCAUCUUAAUAGAAGAGGCUUGAGAGAAAUUGUUGAGCUUGCGUUUGAAAUGAACAAGUCGGGAAAACGCAGGCUGACGAAGGAAGAAAUCCUAAGGGAACUUGUGAGGUGAAGGUAUAGUCUGCCUCUUGUGGAAACACAGGAAAAAAGGUGAAGUUCCGACCCGCACGAAAGGCGUAACGACAUGAGCGCUGUCUUAGAGAGGGGCACGGCGAAACUGUGGUACCGGUGAAGACGCCGGUUACCUGCCGCUGGACGGAAAGACCCCGGCACCUUAACUGCAGCCUAGCAUUGGAUUUUGGAACAUGAUGCGCAGAAUAGGUGGGAGGCUGUGAAGCCGCACCUCCGGGUGUGGUGGAGCCAUCAGUGAGAUACCACUCUUCAUGUUCUGAAGUUCUAACCUACUCCCCUUAGCGGGGAGGGGAACAGUGUUAGGUGGGUAGUUUGACUGGGGCGGUCGCCUCCUAAAAUGUAACGGAGGCGCCCUAAGGUUCCCUCAGGUUGUUUGGAAAUCAACCGUAGAGUGCAAAGGCAUAAGGGAGCUUGACUGUGAGACCGACGGGUCGAGCAGGUGCGAAAGCAGGGCUUAGUGAUCCGGUGGUCCCGUAUGGAAGGGCCAUCGCUCAACGGAUAAAAGGUACGCCGGGGAUAACAGGCUAAUAGUCUCCAAGAGCUCACAUCGACGAGACUGUUUGGCACCUCGAUGUCGGCUCAUCCCAUCCUGGGGCUGAAGCGGGUCCCAAGGGUCCGGCUGUUCGCCGGUUAAAGGGGUACGUGAGCUGGGUUUAGAACGUCGCGAGACAGUUCGGUCUCUAUCCACGGCAGGCGCAGGAGAUUUGAGGGGGGCUGUCCAUAGUACGAAAGGACCUGGAUGGACGAACCUCCGGUUUACCAGUUGUGCCGCCAGGCGCAGCGCUGGGUAGCUGUGUUCGGUAGCGAUAACCGCUGAAAGCAUAUAAGCGGGAAGCGCGCCCCAAGAUAAGAUCUCCCUCCCCGCAAGGGGCUAAAGGGCCCUCGUAGAUGACGAGGUUGAUAGGCUGGGUGUGUAAGCGCAGUGAUGCGUUGAGCUAACCAGUACUAAUAGCCCGUGAGGCUUGACC